rnacentral:rRNA from 1 species
GACGAACGCUGGCGGCGUGCUUAACACAUGCAAGUCGAGCGGUAAGGCCCUUUCGGGGGUACACGAGCGGCGAACGGGUGAGUAACACGUGGGUGACCUGCCCUCAGCUCUGGGAUAAGCCUGGGAAACCGGGUCUAAUACUGGAUAUGACUCCAUGACGCAUGUUGUGGGGUGGAAAGCCUUGUGCGGCUGAGGAUGGGCCCGCGGCCUAUCAGCUUGUUGGUGGGGUGANGGCCUACCAAGGCGACGACGGGUAGCCGGCCUGAGAGGGCGACCGGCCACACUGGGACUGAGACACGGCCCAGACUCCUACGGGAGGCAGCAGUGGGGAAUCUUGCGCAAUGGGCGAAAGCCUGGCGCAGCGACGCCGCGUGAGGGAUGACGGCCUCGG